rnacentral:rRNA from 1 species
UUGAAGUCAGUCGUGCUGGCGCGAAAUCAACCCUCUCGUCGAGAGGACACAUGGCGUGGCGAGCCUCAACCGUCACGAAAGCGUGAACUCUUGGCGAAAAGGAGCACUAUCGUGUCCGCUGGUUAACAUCAAUUUCGAACGUCAUAAAAAGGCUGGAGGGAUGUGGCUGCUUCGGGAGUGUUAUAACCUUUAGCGAAAUGUGGUGGUCGGGAUUGAGGAUUGCAACGAAUACCUUUAGGGCUGUUCCACCUGGCCUCUCUUUGGUAUCCUGGUGACGACAGCUUGCUGACGUUGUUAGGAUUCGCCAUUGAACAGGCUAGAGUGUGAGCAAAUUCGUUAAGGAUGUUGACGUA